rnacentral:tRNA from 1 species
GGAGAGGUGACCGAGUGGUUUAAGGUACUUGUCUUGAAAACAAGCGUGGGGAAACUCACCGCGAGUUCGAAUCUCGCCCUCUCCGCCA